rnacentral:rRNA from 1 species
ACUAGAAAGCUGCUAACUUAAGUCCUGAGUAGUACCAGAUUGCUUUAAACUCAAAGAAUUUGGCGGCAGCCCUACCCGUUAGAGGAGCCUGCCCUUUAAACGAUGACCCACGCUUAACUGUACCAUUAUUUAAAGUUUGUAUACCGCCGUAAAGAUUAUAUUGUAAAGUAUAUUCUUAAUUAUAUUAAUAAAAACUUCAGGUCAAGGUGCAGCACAUAUGAUGGAGGUGGUGGGCUACAUUAAAUUUACUUAUACGAAUUAAAAGUUGAAAACUUUUAGGAAGGUGGAUUUAACAGUAAGCUUAAUUUUUAUUAAGUUGAAGGGGUU